AAGCCUUACACUUGCCAACAAAGUGUAUAAGUUACAAACUUCCUGUUACACUGACAGCGUAAUUCUAGCUCACUUAACCAACAGACAGACUGACAACUGGCAAACAUGGCUCUCUUUUACACUCGCUGUCUUCAAGACCUACCUCAUCUGACCUUUAAUGAUGUGGACCGUCAAGAAGUCAUGCCCCACUCCCUCCAGCAAAUGGGAAAAGGGAUUCAAGAUGUAUAUCGCCAGCUACAUCGAUAAUUACGAGGGGUGUUAGGCCAGGCCCAGUUGUAGAAAUGGAGUUUCGAAAACCCAGAAAUUCAACAAGACUGUGUAAGAAAUUCUCUCUACAAGGCGCUGGAUGGGUGUACAAAGACUUCCCCCUUCACUUGCACCCUUGGUAACAACAAUGGGCAUGUCAGCUGAUGUCCCGUUAGUCCAGUCUGCUUUUGGAGCUGUCCAGGCAGGGAGCGUGCUGUCAUUUCAGCAUAAACCACCAGCAAUGAGGGAAGUCU